rnacentral:tRNA from 1 species
GCGAUGGAAGCUCAACUGGCUGAGCGCCGGUCUCCAAAACCGGCGGGUGCAGGUUCGACUCCUGUCCAUCGCG